AGCUGGUUGACUUCGGGUCAAAUUGUAAUUUGGAUAUCAUUUGGUCCCCUUCAACCAGCUGU
rnacentral:pre_miRNA from 1 species